CAAAGACCCAACUCUGAUUCGCGUCUUCCGCUAUCUUCCACUAUUCAGUCUGGCGACCGGCGGAACGCGGACUGGUCACUGGGGCUCGCCGACGUGGGGGCUGUUGAGGGGCCGGAAAGAGCUGAGAGGCCAGAGGCUGGUCAUGGCUCCUCGGUUCUUCUCGUCGCGGCUGAGCAGGCGGCGCCGGCGCCGCGCGCAGAGAUCCGAAAUAGAAGAAGCCGUCCAAUCAAUAUUACUUCGUUGUGGACCAGGACGCGGAAUUCUGGCUGGCCAUGAUUAACCGUUUUAUCGCACCCAAUUCUUUUACCACAUCGCCCAUCUUUAUGCGCCGUCUUGCAGAGCCCCUGCAGCAAGCUAGACCAAGUCUUGAAACUGGAGCAGCGAACAAUUCUAAAGUCACUUGAGGCUCUUGGUUGCAUCUUACAUUGACGUCCAUUAUAUCCAACAGAUUACCAGGACAGGCCAUCUGAACGUACUUUGGUAGAUUUGUAGUAUUGCCGAAAAAUGGGUCAGUUGGCCUUCUCCCAGUAAGCAUCUCCAACAAUAGCACACCAUAGCUGUACACGUCGCCUUCCACAGAUAUUUCAGUCCCGGUGCCAUACUCUGUUAAAGGAAGGAAAGAAAGGGUUCGUGUUAGCUUUCUUAUAAACUACUGUAUAUGGUAUAGACAUAAUCCAUUCCACACACAUUCCUUGGUUGUUUACAUAUAGUAGUUGACUGUAUUUUCGGCACAACAAAUUAUUGUAAAUGGACACAUAUAUAUUUUUCAGAUUCUCAUUUGAUAUGGUGACCACGAGAGAAAUUGGUCUUUUUUUUUUACUAUGGAACCAUAAGAAUUGAAGGCUUAAAGCUUCUUAUAAUUACUAAAAAGAAUCAUGAACAAUUUUGAGGGAAAUUUACUGAUUUUUUUAGACAAUGUUACUGAUUGCUAAGUCGACAAUAACAAUGUACGGUGGAGCCAAGCCGCUACCGGGAGAGGAACAAACAUGAGGUUACCACUUAUCUACAUGUUAACAAACUACUGCUUAAAUAUCUUUCAAGCCAUUGCUGAAAAUGUGGUGAAGUAAGAAGGAAACAGCAUACCUGGUGCAAGAUACCCAAUUGUGCCUUUGAUUCCAGCCGAGCAACUUUGAUCGGCGAGUGAUUGCCUGCUUUCUUCUGCCCUAAUUAUCUUUGCUAGUCCAAAGUCACCAAGAUGUGCAACCAUGUCAUCAUCAAGAAGAAUAUUACUUGGUUUAACAUCACAGUGAACAAUUGG